rnacentral:misc_RNA from 1 species
GAUGAAGAACGCAGCGAAAUGCGAUACGUAAUGUGAAUUGCAGAAUUCAGUGAAUCAUCGAAUCUUUGAACGCAUAUUGCGCUCUUUGGUAUUCCGAAGAGCAUGCUUGUUUGAGUAUCAGUAAACACCUCAAAGUCUUUUUUUUUCUUGAAGAAAAAGACCUUGGACUUGAGCAAUCCCAACUCUUCUUUCAGAAGAGGCGGGUUGCUUGAAAUGCAGGUGCAGCUGGACAUUCUCCCGAGCUAAAAGCAUAUUCAUUUAGUCCCGUCAAACGGAUUAUUACUUUUGCUGCAGCUAACAUAAAGGGAGUUUGACCAUUUUGGCUGACUGAUGCAGGAAUUUCACAAGAGUCUUCAAAACGCUCUUGUUAAACUCGAUCUCAAAUCAAGUAAGACUACCCGCUGAACUUAAGCAUAUCAAUAAGCGGAGGA